rnacentral:rRNA from 1 species
AAAUUGAAGGGUUUGAUCCUGGCUCAGAAUGAACGUUGGCGGCGUGGAUUAGGCAUGCAAGUCGUACGGAGGUAGCAAUACCUUAGUGGCGAAAGGGAUAGGAAUACAUAGGUUAUCUGCCCUCAAGUCGCGGAUAGCGGCGGGAAACUGCCGGUAAUACGCGAUGUGUUCUCCGGAACAAAGGUGUGAUUCCGCUUGAGGAUGAGUCUAUGUCCUAUUAGCUAGUUGGCGGGGUAAUUGCCCACCAAGGCUAUGAUGGGUACGAGGCGUGAGAGCGUGUCCUCGAUCACUGGAACUGAGACACUGUCCAGACACCUACGGGUGGCUGCAGUCGAGAAUCUUCGGCAAUGGACGAAAGUCUGACCGAGCGAC